rnacentral:rRNA from 1 species
UACGGGGGGGGCAAGCGUUGUUCGGAAUUACUGGGCGUAAAGGGCUUGUAGGUGGCCAACUAAGUCAGACGUGAAAUCCCUCGGUUUAACCUGGGAACUGCGUCUGAUACUGGAUGGCUUGAGUGUGGGAGAGGGAUGUGGAAUUCCAGGUGUAGCGGUGAAAUGCGUAGAUAUCAGGAGGAACACCGGUGGUGUAGACGGCUUUCUGGACCGUAACUGACGCUGAGACACGAAAGCGUGGGUAGCAAACAGG